rnacentral:lncRNA from 1 species
UCCCUUGGAUUGAUGAUACACACCAUGAAAGAAACUAAAGUUAAGAAAAUAAAAUCCUAAAUAAUGUGUAGAGCAGCCUCCAAUUGUCUAAAGAUGUCCAAAAGUAUGUAAAAACGUGAUAUAAUAUGUAUUUAUAGUAUAGGAACAAUCCAAGUCUGUGUUGGAGUUGGAAACAUUCAUUUAUUGAGCCCGGGAGUGGAGAGGGCGCUGCCCUAGCUAUAGCCCCGCUCUAAGCAAAGCUGCGCCCUGGGUUGAGCGUCGCUCCAGGCAAGGCGUCGCCUCCAUAUCACCUUGCUUCACUGUUUUGGUGCCUUCUGAACCGUUUGGAGUGCUGCACGUGCCAAAAAUCCUUACCAUACGCUCUCACUCUCCCUGGACAUUCCAGGUUUUUAAAUUGGCAUCAAAUUACAUAUUGUGCUUCCGUGAUCCAUUCCAAGACUUUUUGAGUUGUUUCCACUUAAUUUGAAGAUUGUAUGUCCUUAAUAUAUCAUCAUAAUCCAUUCAUCAAGCAUCCUAUUUCAUUAAACAUAACAAUUUAAAGCUCAAAACAACACAACAUCCAACAUGAUGAACUAGAAACACUAGCUAAGCAUAGGCUAACUUCACUUUGAUCUUUAACUCAUUGUUUUGACCCUUGGCUUGAUCCAAUUAACCUUUGAGAAUUAUCAAAAAGUUGUUUCACAUAUAAUUAUACAUAAAAACUAUUUGGAACAAUUUAAACACAAUAGAAUCCACCAUAAUCAACUAGACAAGAACCUAGCUCAAGCUAGUAACAUUAAUUUUCUGGGUUGAACUCUAAAUGAAUAUUUUAUGUAUAAACUUGUUUGUAACUCACUUUGAACAUUGUAAACACAUGAUUUAACACUUCGAUACACAUUUAUCUUAUUAUCAACCCCUAUAGCACACGAAUCAUUCUCAAAACAAGUCUAAAAAGUCUAGAAUAGUGUUGCUAGAAUGCAUAAAUACACCCAACAUUAGUUACACAAGAAAACCAUGGCACAGUGAAAAACCUAUGCAGAUAUUACUUCAGAAAAGAAAAACUAUCCAGCUUCAUCAAAAAAGAAGAACUACUCUAUUUUUACUUAACAAUCAGUCGUUUUGCAUCUUUGAUCUCGAUAAAUAAUGUCCCCUGCCCCUACACCUCUAUCUGUCUCUCUGCCUAAUAAGGCUCUGUCCACCACAGGAUUCAAACCUGUCAUACUAUACUACCUUUGUUGUAUCAGCAAAACCUUGGGCAUGGAAGUCGUAGUGUGAGGAUAAUUACAAAUUAAAGGAAAAGGGGCACUUAUAAAGGGUUGGGUCUAGUCAAUCAUGGGUAUUACAAAAUUGUUGAGAAAACCAAUUAUAAGUGAUCAAUUUAUUAUUAAAAAAAUAUUACUAUUGAAAAACUAUCAUUUGUGGUCAGUUUUUAUUAAAAAAUUAAAAUUUUAAUAAAUUAUAUAAUAUUUAUAAUAACAUCCAAAUAAUUUAAUGCAAUAUAUGUAUAAAUCAGAUAAUUAGUUAUUUUUUUAUCACAUUAACACGAGUAGUAUAUUUCCUUAAUCGUAUAAUAAUAUCAAUGCAUUUCGUAAACUAGGAUGGAUUUUUGGUUAACUAGUUUUUAAAUACGAUAUUAUAUAUAUACCUCGUAAUAGAACGUGUUAAUCAGAUAAAUUAUUAAUUAAUUAGCUUACAUUAUUACAACUUCAACAAUAUACCCGUGUCAACAUUGACACAAUUAGUAUAUGUAUUUCCUCAAUAGUAUGAUAUCAAUGUAUUAUUCAAAAUAUAUAUUUUCAUAUGUAGAUUCAGUUAUCUAACUUUUGAUUACUGCAUAUGUCACCACACGAUAUAUACGUAAAUAUACAUAUAUUCGAGGCUAUCAACUUCCAAAUACGUACUAUAUACAUCACAGACACGAUUUUACAAUACCAUAAUAAUAUACAACGUAUUUCACAUAUACUCAGAUGAAUUAUCGGUUAGUUUAUCUUAUGUUAUUAUACCUUCACUACAUAAUAUAUAUAUAUAUAUAUAUACACACUCUAUAUAUACCUAUACAUACACACACAUAUACACACUAUCGACUAUCAAGUUCUAAAUACGUACUAUAUAUAUCACAUACGUACUUGAGUAUAUUACCCCGUAAUAUAAUGCGACGUAUUUCAUAUACAUACUUUGAUGAGUUAUCGAUUAAUUUGAUUGACUUACAUUAAUAUAACUUCAACGUACAAUAUAUUAUUACUUCGAUCGUUUCAAAUCAAGGUAUUCAAUAUGUUUGGAUGGAUUCUGCUAGUUUUUGACAACAUCGUUCAUCGAUCACUACAUCAUAUAUACAUAUAUGUGUGUGUGUGUGUGUAUAUACAUCACAUCCACAAGUAUAUUACCUCGUAACACAACACAUUCAUUAUAUUCUGAUGAAUUAUCGGUUAUAUGUAUAUAUAUAUAUAUACACACGUUACAUUAAUAUAGCUUCAAUAGUAGCAUAAUAUUAUUACCUCAACUGUAUGAUAUAGACAUAUUCAUUAUACAAAGAUUAUGUUUAACGUAAUUUAACGUAUAUACAACAGAAAAUAUUUAUUUUAUUUAUUAAAACAAAAGAUAAAAAUUAUGUUUAACGUAAUUUAUUUGAUAUAUUUCUUAGUAUAAUUUUUUUACAAAAUCUAAGUUUAAUUAUUUUUUUUAAUUAUUAUAUUGGUUAUCGACUACGUGUGAUCAGUGUAAUUUUAAAAAAUCAUAUAUCUAAUUUUACAUAUAAUAAUUAAAAUAUAUUUUUUAAAUCAAAAGUGACCUCAAGUGGUUAUUUGUGAAUUUAUUUUUUUAAUAAAAAGCGACCACAAGUUGUCUCUUUUUAAAAUUAUUUUCUUUUUUUAUUUUUGAAUAGAAAACCGUCCACAAAUGGUCGCUUUUAUAUAAAUAUUUUGAUUUAUUUAAAAAAAAACAACCACAAGUGGUCUCAAUUUAUUUUUCAUCAAAAAGCGACAACUAGUGGUCGGUUUCUUAAAUAAUUUUUUUUUAUUUUUAUUAAUUUCAAAAGCAACCACAAGUGGUCGCUUUUUUAAAAAUACUUUCUAAAUAGAAACCACAAGUGGUUGCUUUUUUAAAAUUAUUUUCUUUUUUUAUUUUUUAAUAGAAAACUGACCAUAAGUGAUCGCUUUUAUAUAAAUAUUUUUAUUUAUUUUUAAAGAAAACGACCACAAGUGGUCUCAAUCUAAUUUUUUUAUUUUUAAUCAAAAAGCGACCACUAGUGGUCGGUUUCUUUAAUUUAUUUUUAAUUCAAAAAACCACAAGUAGUCACUUUAUAAAAUAUUUUUAAUUUAAUUUUGAAAAUAAAUGCGACUACUUUUUAAAAAUAGUUUUAAAUUAAAUUUUUUAAAUAAAAGCGACUACAAGUGGUCGCUUUUUUUAAAUUAUUUUCUGGUGCAGUUUUUUAAAAUAAAAAAACAACCACAAGGGUUUCUUUUUUGAUUUUUUUAAAUUUUUUAUUAAGGAAAUAGUAAUUAAUUUAAAAAUGAUUAUUUUGAAAAUUUAAAAUAUAAAAGUGACCGCACGUGGUCAUUUUAUAUAUAUAUAUAUAUAUAUAUAUAUAUUUUAACAAAAUUAAAAUCGACAAUAUGUGAUUGCUUUUGUUGUGACCACAAGCUGCGAUCGAUUUUUCGUGGUCGGAAAAACUAUUUUUUUAGCAGUGUACUUUAAUCUUCAAAAUCAAAAUAAAAAUUCGAAAUAACUAAACUGAAUUUAUAGAAAUUGAAUCAAAUCGAAUUUAUUUUGGUUUGAUUACAGUUGUCAUUUUCGUCAAUCCAAAAAUUAAAAAAUUAAACCGAUAUUAAACAAGUAAAUCAAAUAAACAGAAUACCCACCCCUAAUCUCAUCAUAUAUAUAAUUUUGAAACUUCUUAAUACUUUCAACUCAAUGUAAAAUAAAAUAAUUUUUUAUUUUAUUUAGUGAUUAUUAUACCUUAUAUCUUACACUAAACGACUUCUAAAUGUACAUUAUAUUGAUAUAUUAUAUUAUCGUGCGUAGUAUGAUGCCUUACAAUUAUAUUUAAAUUAACCAAUAGAAAAACAUGUUCUAUUUGAGCCCUGAGUCGUUCUUCGCCCUAUCUUAGGCCAACGAAAUUUCACCUCUUAAUUUUUUUGUGAUAACAUAACGAGUCAAGCUAAGGUUUAUUCAGCUCGAAUACAUCUGUGAUGCCAUCUGUGUCAACAAACUAAUUUUAAUUUCUUGAGCAUCUUUUGCUUGAUUAUACAUGUCCACUGAUUUAAUGUCUAAUUUCUUUUUAUUUUAUGUUUUUUAUUCUUCAAGUUUAUCCUUUUCCUAUUUAAAUUUUUCUAGUCACAAAAUCCUAAGUAAAUCUCCAAGAAAUAAUUUCAGCUAAAUUUGUAGCAACACAAUCCCCCAAUAAUUUUUCAUGUAAUAAUUUCGUAGGUAAAUCUGCAAGAAAUAAUUUCAGCUAAAUUUGUAGCAACACAAUCCCCCAAUAAUUUUUCAAGUAAUAAUUUCGCAGGUAAAUCUCCAAGAAUAAAUUUCCAGCAAAAUUCGCAGAACAAAAUCCCCAAAUAAUUUUUCAGGUAAUAAAAUUCAUUACAUAAAUUUCUACCAAAAUAUCUUUACGUACAUCCCUAGGAUAAAUUACCUGAAAAUUUUUCUAUGGAUUUAAAAAAUAUAUAUAUUUAUUCAUAUACCUGCGGAUUUACCUAGAGAUUAAAUACCCGCCGAUACAUUUUCCCAGGUAAUACGCAAGUAAUAAUUUCGCAGGUAAAUCCCCAAGAAUAAAUCCCCAGCAAAUUUUCCAGCACAAAAUCCCCAAAUAAUUUUUCAGGCAAUAAAAUCCAUUACAUAAAUUUCCACCAAAAUAUCUCUAUAUAAAUCCGUAGGAUAAAUUACUUGGGGAUUUUCCUAUGGAUUUAAAAAAUAUAUAUAUUUGUCCAUAUACCUGCGGAUUUACCUAGAGAUAAAAUACCUGCCGAUACAUUUCCCCAUGUAAUGUCACAAGUACGAAAUUUGCGCAAUACGACGCCAAAUUUACCUGCGGAAUUUGUUGCAAAUAGAUAGUUUGCAGGUAAUAUAUUUUAAUGUUGAAGAAUUUAAUAUUUUCGUAGGUAAAUCCGCAUGUAUUUUUUGCGAUAUUAUUUCCUAGGUAAAAUCCCCAAAUAAUUUACAGUUUUCUAGUAGUGAGAUGGAAUACCUUAUUUAUCUACGUUCAAUGCUUCCGUUGUUUUAUCUUGACAUUUUUUUUAUUGCACUAAAUAUGGCAAUAAAGGACAUGCUAUUUACACUUUUAAAGCAGCAUAUAUAUUUUUUCCAUUUUUAAGUACUUGUCAUUUUUGUUAUGUAUAUUUUUUAAGUAAAACUUUAACUACAGAUCGAGUAAUUUGAUUAAAUUAUCCUAUUUAUUAUUCAUUUCAAUUUAAUACAGUGCUUGUCCCUUUUGCACCAUAUUAUUGUCCCUCCAUAUUUUAUGAUGAAGGGCAAAGGUAAAAAAACUAAUGAUAUCUUAGUUUUCUAAAAUGACAAGUGCUUCUUUAUUCUUUUUUAGUUGACAUGAUAAAACUUCGCAUAACCAUAAUGAAAAAUUAAUUAGGAGUGUAAUUUGACUCAUAUACUCCGUAUUAAUUUUUGCCUAUUUAUGUGUCUAUUAAUUAUAGAAUAAUUAAUGCUAAGGGAAAACUUGAAAACAAAUUAAUCUUUCUUGAUUUUUUAAACUGAUCGGUAUUUGAAAACAACUAUUUUUAGUAUACAUGAAAACUAAAAAGAAACGAAAUACGUGUUAUGAAUCAUCUUUUUUAGUAGCGAAGACAAUAUUUAGGAACGAAAGGAGUAUUAAAUAACAUGAAUGUCGUUAGCAAAUUGAAGGUACUCGAAAAACUGUGAUAUUUAGUUGACAAAGAGGUAAUAAUUCUCUUUAUUCAUAUUAUCUUUUGCGUUAUAUUUUAAAAGUGCUAUACUUAAUAAUAUAACGAACACAUAUCAAUUUAUUUUUCAUUCAUUUAUUAAUAUUAUUAAUGUUAUAUACCUAUCUAUCUUCCUAGCUUUGGUAGAUUUCCCCAAAUGCAAUCCACAGAAAUUCCAUGAAUUCCUUGGAGGAUAAGUCCGACGACUCAGUAGCAGUGCGGAAUUGAGAUUUUUGUCUGGUGGAUCUGAUCUAUAGUUAGGGGGCAAUACAUAUCAAAAGGUUCGAAGAAGGAAGGCGCAUAAGAGUAUAUAAUCAACCUGCCCUUCUAUAUAACCUAUUCGCAUUAGUGAAGCGGUUGGAUGCAUAAAGGAAGUGCAUGUUUGUGAGACCUUAGUCGGGAUGCAUAGGUGAGUCAACCUACGAGCACGGAAGAGCAACGCCCGUAUACUCAACUAGUCUAUUAGAAAAGUAGAGAGUCACAGAAGCAGUACCUUACAAAAUCGUAGUAAUUUCGCAAUGCAAUUGCAAAACACAAACACGAUUACCUUAUCAAAACGCUCCUUCAGAUCCUCCCACGCCAAAUGCGCAUUUAAUAUAGUACACUAUCCCACUGGGAAGUUUCCUGUAUUAAUAAUCCAACUUAGAACAAUUGCAUUACAAGUCUCCUAAUCUUCAUGCAAUUUAGCACUGUCACGAAACCCAAUUCUUCGUCUGCACAGCUAUUGUCAUUGAUCUAUGGCGAAGACCAUAUUCUUUGAUUCUAUCAGUCGAGAGUUGGUACAAGAACAGAGCUUGGAGUAUCUGAUGGAUGAACAAAUAAAGAAUGUGUGUUGGUGAUUUUCUUAGCAGCCAUUUGAGAUCGAAAGCAAUGAAAUUGAGAUAGAAUAGGAGGAGAGGAAAUUAGCAUGUUCAAUUGAUUCAGAAAGAAUGUUGUGUACAAAUUCAGACACAUAUAGUCGUCUGUUGAGUUGACAAUUAUAUCCAGCUCAUUACCACUAAUCACAAUUAGUUAUAACCGAACUAAUUCUAACCACCAUUAACCAUAUCACAUAGCUAAUUAAUUGACUUCAAUUGAUCAUAUGGCCUUUGAACAUGAAAGGAAAAGAAAAACAUGAGGAGAAGCCAUUUUUUCUACG